AGCCCAGUUUUUCCAGAUCUGCCACACUUUUAACCGAAGUGAGUAAAAAAAUAGGAGUGUAAUUCCGUAAAAACCAUUGUGCAAAGUAUGUAAUAUCGGCUAGUUACAUUACAUUGAUAUUUUGUUUCACUUGAUAGGUUGACAUUGUUUCUUUGCGGUUCAACCUUUCGGCUGAUACGCAGCACGCGAAUUAUAAAAAUGUGUAGAAAAUAAUAAUUUUAAAACGGAAGACCCUACACACUUUUUGUAUAUUUACCUUUCCCUAAUAUUAUAUGUAUCUUGAUCUGCCCAAAUAAUGUGAAAAUAUAUAGAUAGGUUUAGUCAACGGACAUUCGUACCAAACACACUUUCGCGAGAUCCUUCCGUCGCGGUAUUAACACUUAAAAAAGUGAUAAAAUAUUCCUAAUUUGUUCAUUGUGGUCUUUUUAUUAUGCAGCAUUCCGUUGGAUGCAAUAACCGCACUGUAUCACAUCUGUAAAGUUCGUUGACGGGCGUUAUCUUCUGUACUCAAAGAACGCAAAUUUUGUCAGCAGUCAAAUACCGGUCAUUGAAGAAACAGCACCAUUCGUAAAAACGGCCGCUUUUCGUAGGAGGAUUAUUUCUGCCGCUAAAGCCUUUGAAGAGUUUUCUUACCGAUACAUAUCUUGAUUGAACUGUUGUGCGAAAAUCAAACACACAAAAUAUCCACUAAAAACAUCCAUUACAAAUCAUAUUUUAAGAGGCAAAACUAUGUUUGUGGGAAAAAAAUUCAAAUUAAAGUAUCUUAUGAGUAUGAUUUAACAGCAUUAAAGUAGUGCUCGAUCCGUGGCAAAAAUCGAGAGGUAUACGUGGGGCCAGCAAUUUGAGUAAGAACACCUAUAGUAUAUAACAUAACCUGUCACAGCGGUAACCAUAUGCUUUACACAAAUAUGACAAUGAAUGUCUACUUUGUCAGACAAUGCAACGCUGAACAUGUUAAAUAUUCAACCUUCACACACACGCACAUUUGCAUAAAUCGUAAUUCCGAUUUUCUUUCCAAUAAUCUAUUUUCGAAGGACCCUAAUGGGACAUGCAAGAGACACGCUGCUAUCAUGUUUGAAUAGUUUUCUUCCUUGUAUUUCUUCACCAACUUGUUACACCAAAAAGAGAAAAACUUUCUGUGCACUUCUUUCUGUCAACGCUUUUCCGAAUACAAAAUGUUCUUUGGAAGUGCAAACCAAAUUUUUAUAUCCGAGACCGGCUUAGUUUUUGAAACCGCAGCUG